rnacentral:lncRNA from 1 species
CGCACUCUCAAACUUCUAGUGUCUAUGCCCUAUAUUCUCUUCAAUUCAUUGGAUAGAGAUCAGAAUAAAAUAAGUUCUGAAAAAAAGUUGGUAUCAUAAUUAAAGAAAAUUUGGUACCAAAAUACUCGAGCAGUUUCUUUUGUUUCACUUACUUUCAUGAGAAACAUAAAAGAAAGAAUAAUAUCGAAUAGUUGUACCUAUAUUAUUAGGCUGAGACCGUAUUUAUAGACGCUACAUUCCGAUUCUUUUCCAAGUAGUACACUACAUUAAAAUCCUUUAACAACUAGGAUUCUAUAUACUAUUUCAAUCCUACUCCAAUUCUAACACUCGCCCCAAACUGGUGCAUACAGGUCAUACGUACUGAGCUAGUUACUAAUGUAAUUAAUACGAGGACCUGUAUGAGACUUGGUGAAGGUAUCUGCAAGAAAAUUGGUAUGGAACUGCUCUGGACGUCAUGGUUGAAAAAGUUGUAAACGUCACCAGAAAGUCUAUCACUGAAAAAUUGCCGGAAAUUAGUAUAAAAAAUAUAUAGGUCAUCUCGAAAUCAAGAGAUAAGUAGAUCUUGAACAAGUAACCAAAAACAGGUCACAUGCCGAUUAUUAGAUUUGACAGCUGAAAAGUAGUCAAAAUCUGAGAAAAAUUAUAUGGAUAGGGUCGGAAUGAUGGCACGACCCUAUUAGAAAAGAAAAAUUGUAGAACUUCCCAAACCAGGCUCGAGGAGAUUAUUUUAGACCAUAAAAUUAUAUGGGUAAGGUAGGAAUGACGACACGACCAAGAGAAAUUAUAUGGGUAGGGUUGGAAUGAUAGCAUAACCCUACUAGAAAAGAGAAAUUAUAUGGGUAGAGCUGGAAUGAUGACACGACCCUACGCAAAUCAGAUCUCUGGAGUCACCGGAAAGACGCACAGAGCUACGAAAAUCAAAUCUAAGGAGUACUAAAAGAGCACAAUGCUAUGCAACUCAAAUAUGAGAAAGUAGCCUGAAAAGAUGCACGAAACUACGCAAAUUAAAUUUGUAGUCCGAAGAGAUGCACGGUGCUACACAAAUCAGACAUGAGAGAAUAGUCACCAAAAAAAUGCACGGUGCUGCGCAAAUAAUAUAUGAGAAAACAUUCAUCGGAAAGAAGCACGGUGGCUCAAUCUUUUGCUAACAUGAUCAUUGGUUGGACGGACGGCAUAUAUGGGUAAUAGCCGCCCACUGGCAACAAAAGUUUUUUGAUUCGCUAACAAGAUCGUAGAGGUUCUGAUUCCAUGUGAAAAAUAUAAAAGAAGAAGAAUACUGAAUUGUUGUAUCUACAUGAUUACACUGAGACCCUAUUUCCAGACACUACAUCUCAAUCCUUUUCCAAGUAGGACACUACAUUAAAAUUCUUUUACAACUAGGAUUUUAAGAACUAUUCAUAUUCCUACUCCAAUUCUAACAACUUUAUUGGAUAAAUGGAUGAGAAGAAUGGCAUUAAAGUCUUUUUGAUCGUGAAAUCAAAGUUUAUCUCUUCCCUCAACACAAGGAAUACGUUUACUAGACUAGAAGUGCUGCAGCCAGUUAAAAAGGCGCACACUUUAUCGCCACAAAGUAACACUAAACAGCAGAGGUAAAUUUGUUAGGUAAUUUACAGAUGAUAUUAUUUCUUAUGGUUCAUCGGAUAACAUCAAUGGCUCAAAAGUGUAAGGAAUAAACCUUUUUGAAUGGACCAACACCCCAAGGAUUGUCCAGCUGUUCAGGUUGGCCAGAAAUAACCAAACGACCAGCAGGAUCAGACUGCACACGAACCUGAAAUUUUUUAUAAAUACACCCAGAGGUGUUAUAACAAGGAAAUAAAAGAAUAUUUGGUAUUAUACUGUGAAUGACGGCUGAAAAUAAUCAGAACACAAUCAGAAAAAUAUUUUUCCUGUUAUGGCAGAUGGUAGAAUUGCAAUUGUCAUACUUUUGCAUCAGCAAUGAUAAGAAGUAACCAUUACAAAAUAGGAUUUAGUCAAUCAAUCAACUGACCAGCCCAAAAAUAUUUUGGAGAUAGUCCAGUUCAGUGUUGACACAAAGAACACAAGAUGCAUAAGAAUCCUAAUUGGGUAGCACUGAAAAUAGUAAGCAGUGUUAAGCAUUUAAAAGAUACACUCCAUUCUUAUAUGGUUCUAUGUAGAUAAAAUAUAAUCAAAAGUUAUGGCCUAAACGUAUAUUAUGCUCAAAUCAUAUCAACACUUAUCACGUACAGCUUCCAGCUCAUAGUGCAGGAAAAACAACAAGGUCAGGAUUUACCUCUUCACGCAAAAGACCAGGAACUAAAGCAUAGACUUCAUAGCAAUCCUUCUGCACAGAUAAUUUAACAUUGCAAGUUGAUCCCCUUGGAGAAAAUAUAACACACUGCAUUUAACAUUGAUUCAUGCCAGUGGAAAAAGAGAAACGUACAGUUUUCUGCACAUUGAUCUUCACCCAGUCAGCAGGAGGGCCAAUAUCCACUACCAUUGUCUCCAAACUGCAAAUUUGGGGAUGUAAAGGGGUUUAUUAGCCUUCUGGAACUUAGAUAUCCUUCCAUAACAAGCAGCAGUAACAGGAUGAAAUUAUUUAUAAUGGUAAUUCAAUAAAUUUCAGGACAGUAGCAUAAGGCGCAUGCCAAUUAGAAACAAGGGUGUACUCAGCAAAUAUCAGUAAAUAAAGAAACAACAAC